rnacentral:lncRNA from 1 species
UGGGUAAACUGCGCUACCUCUACAGAGUGUAUUCAAUCUAUCGAUAGCCGCGUCCUCGGUCAUGGGAAAAAGUACGUCGUAGGUCACACUAUCGGAUCUUGGUCGAAAUGGAGGAUAAACCUGCUAAUAACUUGUGUGUUAAUUAAAAUGUGAUAAAUCGUGUGAUGACUUGGACUGUGGGAAAAUCGUGAGAAGCCGCGAUGAUGUGUGGAUAUGACCCCGAGACAAGGUCUUGGAAAGUCACGCGUGUGCUCUGAGGAGCCGUGGCAGAGUAAGUGAUUGUUGCAUAAGGUUAAUACAUCAUGUCUUCACGGAAGGUAAUUGGUAGUUUAUUUCCAGCAUAGUUUCGUGAUGCCAUGCUAUGUUUUGAUAUGUUAUGCUUGUUGUUGUUAUGUUAGAAGUAAAUUUGAUAUGCCAUGCUAGUAGAUGGUGUGCUGUUGUUCAUGCUUAGUUUGAUUUAUGAUUCGAGUUAAUAUCAUGGCAUGCGUAGAAGUUGUGUUGAAGUAGACUAUUGCAUAUGCUUGGUUCUUGCUUCGUCAUCUGUUUGUUUGGAUGCUAUGUAUUUGGUUGUCUUGCAAGUACAUUCAAUGUACUGACCCGGCUUCUCAUCCCAGUUUUGUAGGUCGUGCCCAAAUUGUUCGCUUGUUUCAUCGUGCUAGGCCGUAAUCUUGCCAGUCUUGUGAGUUGUGGAGCCAAUCCUAAGUGAGAUGCUGCCAAACCAAGACUUCUAUUGCUAGUUAAAUAGACUUCCGCUGCCAUUUAAAUAGCCUUAGGUCUAUGCUAGAUAAUUGUAUUCAUCAAUGAUGUAAUCUUAUAUACAUGUAUUUGAUGAAUAUUAUUGUACUUGGAAUGAUGUAUCAUGGACCUGUCGUGCAUCAGGUGUUAUCCUAGGCUGACGUGCGAAGGCCCCCUGCUCCAUGCGGAUCGGGGUGCUGAUAACCCACAAGUAUAGGGGAUCGCAACAGUUUUCGAGGGUGAAGUAUUCAACCCAAAUUUAUUGAUUCGACACAUGGGGAGCAAAAGAAUACUCUCUAGUAUUAGCAGUUGAGUUGUCAAUUCAACCACACCUGGAAACUUAAUAUCUGCAACAAAGUAUUUAGUAGCAAAGUAAUAUGAUAGUAGUGAUAACGGUAACAAAAGGUGACGGUAGUAAAAGCAAUGUUUUUGGUAUUUUGUAGUGAUGAUAGCACUAGCAAAGGGAAAGUAAAUAAGCAAAGAACAACAUGUGGAAAGCUCGUAGGCAAUGGAUCGGUGAUGGAGAAUUAUGCCGGAUGCGGUUCAUCAUGUAACAGUCAUAACCUAGGGUGACACAGAACUAGCUCCAGUUCAUUGAUAUAAUGUAGGUAUGUAUUUCGAAUAUAGUCAUACGUGCUUAUGGAAAAGGACUUGCAUGACAUCUUUUGUCCUACCCUCCCGUGGCAGCGGGGUCUUUACGGAAACUAAGGGAUAUUAAGGCCUCCUUUUAAUAGAGAACCGGAACAAAGCAUUAACACAUAGUGAAUACAUGAACUCCUCAAACUACGGUCAUCAUCGGUAAGUAUCCCGAUUAUUGUCACUUCCGGGUUAACGGAUCAUAACACAUAAUAGGUGACUAUAGACUUGCAAGAUAGGAUCAAGAACACCCAUAUAUUGAUGAAAACAUAAUAGGUUCAGAUCUGAAAUCAUGGCACUCGGGCCCCAGUGACAAGCAUUAAGCAUAGCAAAGUCAUAUCAACAUCAAUCUCAGAACAUAGUGGAUACUAGGGAUCAAACCCUAAUAAAACUAACUCGAUUACAUGAUAGAUCUCAUCCAACCCAUCACCGUCCAGCAAGCCUACGAUGGAAUUACUCACGCACGGCGGUGAGCAUCAUGAAAUUGGUGAUGGAGGAUGGUUGAUGAUGACGAUGGCGACGGAUUCCCCUCUCCGGAGCCCCGAACGGACUCCAGAUCAGCCCUCCCGAGAGGUUUUAGGGCUUGGCGGCGGCUCUGUAUCAUAAAACGUGAUGAUUUCUUCUCCCUGAUUUUUUUCUCCCCGAAACUCAAUAUAUGGAGUUGGAGUCGGAGAGGCAAUAGGGGCCCACAAGGUAGGGGCGCGCCCUAGGGGGGCAGGCGCGCCCUCCACCCUCGUGGGCAGGUGGUGGGCCCCCUGGCCUUCAUCUUUCGUAGGUAUUUUUCUUAUUUUCUGAAAAGUGACUCCGUGAAGUUCCAGGUCAUUCCCAAAAUGUUUGCUCCUGCACAUAAAUAACACCAUGGUAAUUCUGCUGAAAACAACGUCAGUCCGGGUUAGUUCCAUUCAAAUCAUGCAAGUUAGAGUCCAAAACAAGGGCAAAAGUGUUUGGAAAAGUAGAUACGUUGGAGACGUAUCAACUCCCCCAAGCUUAAACCUUUGCUUGUCCUCAAGCAAUUCAGUUGACAAACUGAAAGUGAUAAAGAAAAACUUUUACAAACUCUGUUUGCUCUUGUUGUUGUAAAUAUGUAAAGCUAGCAUUCAAGUUUUCAGCAAAGAUUAUAACUAACCACAUUCACAAUAACGCAUAGGUCUCAAGUUUACUCAUAUCAAUAGCAUAAUCAACUAGCGAGCCAUAAUAAUAGAUCUCGGAUGACAACACUUUCUCAAAACAAUCAUAAUAUGAUAUAACAAGAUGGUAUCUCGCUAGCCCUUUCUGAGACCGCAAAACAUAAAUGCAGAGCACCUUUAAAGACCAAGGACUGACUAAACAUUGUAAUUCAAGGUAAAAGAGAUCUAGUCAAGUCAUACUCAAUGUAAACUAACAGUAAUGAAUGCAAAUGACAGCGGUGCUCUCCAACUGGUGCUUUUUAAUAAGAGGAUGAUGACUCAGCAUAAAAGUAAAUAGAUAGGCCCUUCGCAGAGGGAAGCAGGGAUUUAUAGAGGUGCCAGAGCUUGGUUUUGAAACAGAGGUGAAUAAUAUUUUGAGUGGUAUACUUUCAUUGUCAACAUAACAACCAAGAGAUGGCGAUUUCUUCCAUGCUACACACAUUAUAGGCAGUUCCCAAACAGAAUGGUAAAGUUUAUACUCCCCCUUCCACCAACAAGCAUCAAUCCAUGGCUUGCUCGAAACAACGAGUGCCUCCAACUAACAAGAGUCCCAGGGGGAGUUUUGUUUGCAAUUAUUUUGAUUUAGUUUGCAUAUAGCAUGGGACUGGGCAUCUAGGUGACCAGCCAUUUAUCUCAUGAGUGAGGAGCGGAGUCCACUCCUCUUGAGAAUAACCCACCUAACAUGGAAGAUAUGGACAGCCCUAGUUGAUACAUGAGCUAUUCGAGCAUACAAAAUAGGAUAUUUAUUUGAAGGUUUAGAGUUUGGCACAUACAAAUUUACUUGGAACGGCGGGUAGGUACCGUAUAUAGGUAGAUAUAGUGGACUCAUGUGGAAUAACUUUGGGGUUUAAGGGAUUAGAUGCACAAGCAGUAUUCCCGCUUAGUACAGGUGAAGGCUAGCAAAAGACUGGGAAGCGGCCAGCUAGAGAGCGACAACAGUCAUUAACAUGCAUUAAAAUUAAUCAACACGGAAUGCAAGCAUGAGUAGGAUAUAAUCCACCAUGAACAUAAAUAUCAUGAAGGCUAUGUUGAUUUUGUUUCAACUACAUGCGUGAACAUGUGCCAAGUCAAGUCACUUAAAUCAUUCAGAGGAGGAUACCACCCUAUCAUACCACAUCAUAAACAUUUUAAUAGCAUGUUGGCACGCAAGGUAAACCAUUAUAACUCAUAGCUAAUCAAGCAUGGCACAAGAAACUAUGAUCUCUAGUUGUCAUUGCAAACAUGUUUAUUCAUAAUAGGCUGAAUCAGGAAUGAUGAACUAAUCAUAUUUACAAAAACAAAAGAGGUCGAGUUCAUACCAGCUUUUCUCAUCUCAUUCAGUCCAUCAUAUAUUGUCAUAAUUGCCUUUCACUUGCACGACCGAAUGAUGUGAAUAAUAAUAAUAGUGCGUGUGCAUUGAACUAAGCUGGAAUCUGCAAGCAUCCAAUAAACAGGAGAAGACAAGGCAAUACGGGCUCUUUUGUCAGAUCAACAAUAAUGCAUAUAAGAGCCACUUCAGCAAUUUAAUUAUGGUCUUCUCCUAUCGACCCCCAAAGAAAAGAAAAGAAAUAAAACUAUUUACACGGGAAAGCUCCCAACAAGCAAAAGAAGAACAGGAAAUAUUUUUGGGUUUUCUUUUAAUUUGCUACUACAAGCAUGGAAAUUAAACUAACUAAAAGCUACAACUAAUUUUUUUGUUUUUCUUAAGGUUUAUUAAACACACAAGAAGAAAGCAUAAAAAGGAAAUUAAACUAGCAUGGAUGAUACAAUGAAAAAGUAUGAGCACCGACAUCUAGCAAUGAGUGUAUGAACAUAAAUGUAAUGUCGGUGGGAAAUACGUACUCCCCCAAGCUUAGGCUUUUGGCCUACGUUGGUCUAUGGCUAUGGCUGGCCUGGCGGAUAUCCAUAUUAGUAGUUGGGGUCGUACUGCGAUGCAGUGGCUAUCGCCUGCUGAGGUGCAGCGUGGCGACGAGCGGCCUCCGCUCUCCUCUCGUACUCAUCUGCCUCCUCUCUGGUAAUAGUAUAUCUUCCUCUUGCCUGAUAAUCAAAGAAGGCAGGAGCAGGGAGAGUAAUACGGACAGCACGGCAUCUGUCAAAGAUUAGUCGAUACUGGAGAGGUGAUUCGUUCCUCUCGACAAACUAGUGGUGAACCAUAGCAUGAAAAUCUAGAUAAGCAGGAGGUAAUUCAAUAUCAUCUUCGCGUAUGGCUAUACCAAGAAAAUUAGCUAUGCGGGUUGCAUAAAUUCCGCCAAACAAAUCUCCAUUAAGUCUAUUAAGGUGCAACCUACGUGCAACAAUGGCUCCCAAAUUAUAUGAUUUGUCUCCUAACACAUCACUCCUAAGAAUACUGAGAUCGGGGACACACAUGUGACAUGCCUCAUCUUUACCAUUAAUGCAUCUACCUAUAAAGAGAGCAAAAUAAUGUAUAACUAGAAAGUGAAUGCUCCCUAUGGUAGCUUGUGUAAUAUCUCUAGAUUCUCCCACAGUUAUGCUAGCAAAAAAAUCUCUAAAUUCAUAUUUGCGAGGAUCCCUUAUACUACCCCAUUGUGGAAGUUUGCAAGCAGUGGUAAAAUCCUCUAAGUCCAUAGUGUAAGAUUUAUCAUAAAGAUCAAAUAGGACAGUUGCAGAAUUACGUGAAGUUGAAAAUUCAAACCUCCUCACAAAGGUACUGGUGAGGUUGUGAUACUGGCUGCACUUCUCUUCCACGAAGCUCAUGAGAUCAGCAUUGCACAAAUAUGCGUUGAAUUCUUCCUUAAUUCCCACUUGAUCCAUAAAGUUCUCAGAAGGCCACUCACAAGGACGCACUGGAGCGUCUCUUGGUGACUCUUCAUCAGCAUCACGCAUGGCAAGCCUGGGUCCUUACUUCCUUGAGGAACCACCUUGGAACAUUUUCCUAAGCAUUUUUCUUCCUCUGAAAAAUUCUGAAAUUUUUUAGUAACUUCAAAAUAAAAAGUAAACCAAACUCAAUAAUAUUGAUAGCAACUACUCCCACAAGUGCCUAGGGCCUAUAUCAUGCAUCAAAACUACUUUUAACCAAAUAAAUUUGACAUGCAAGCUCAAGAACAGGGCCACCUAAGCAGCAAAAAAUUGCAAUGAAUAAAGCACUAGAACAAAAACUAAUUGGACCAAUGGAUGAGUCACAUACCAAGGAACAAUCUUUCCAAGCAGUUUUGUGAGAGGUGCUUUGAGCAGGGAGAUCGAAAAUGGCAGCAAAACGAGCUUGGACUCGGGUUUGAGCUGGAUAUUCGUGUUUGGGGGAGGAAGAAGGAGUGUGUGGGUGAAAGGAUAAGUGGAGGAGGCCACCAUGGGCCCACAAGACAGGGGGCGCGCCCAGGGGGUAGGGCGCGCCCAGGGGGUAGGGCGCGCCCUCCACCCUCGUGGGCAGGUGGUUGGCCCACCUGCUGUGUUCUCAGUGCCAAAUACUCUCAAAUAUUCUCGAAAAAAUCAUAUUUAAAUUUCAGGGCAUUUGGAGAACUUUUAUUUCCGAGGUAUUUUUAUAUUGCAUGGAUAAUUAGAUAACAGACAGAAAAAUAUUUAUUUUUAUUUUAUUUAAUAUAAAUAACAGAAAGUAAAAGUGGGGUACAGAAGGUUGUGCCUUCUAGUUUCAUCCUUCUCAUGAUCAUCAAAAGGAAUCCACUAACAAGGUUGAUCAAGUCUUGUUAACGAACUCAUUCCGAAUAACAUGGAACCGGAGAAAUUUUGAAUAACACUAUGUUACCUCAAUGGGGAUAUGCACAUCCCCAAUAAUAAGAAUAUCAUAUUUCUUAUUGACAGUAGGAAGAGGAAAUUCAAAACCUCCAAAUAUAAUCGAUGGAAUUUUUCCAAUAGAGUUAAUACUAUGAACUUGAGGUUGUUUCCUCGGAAAGUGUACCGUAUGCUCAUUACCAUUAACAUGAAAAGUGACAUUGUCUUUAGUGCAAUCAAUAACAGCCCCUGCAGUAUUCAAAAAGGGUCUUCCAGGAAUAAUAAACAUAAUAUCGUCCUCGGGAAUAUCAAGAAUAACAAAGUCCGUUAAAAUAGUAACGUUUACAACUAUAACAGGCACAUCCUCAAAAAUACCGACAGGUAUAGCAGUUGAUUUAUCAGCCAUUUGCAAAGAUAUUUCAGUAGGUGUCAACUUAUUCAAAUCAAGUCUAUGAUAUAAAGAGAGAGGCAUAACACUAACACCGGGUUAUCAAAUUUGGCAUAACACUAGCAACAAAUCCAAAUGAUUCUUUGAUUGUGGGUUAUCAAGAUCAACAGCAGGUUCAAUUUCUAUGUCAUUAUCAUUACUAGGUUGAGCAUCAUCAUGAAUAUUAUUAUUAACAUUAUCACUAGUUUCAGGUUCAUUACCAGAUUGAGUUUUAGCAUCAGAAAUAGAAAUAUCAUUUGGAUUCUCAGGUGUUUCAGUAAUAGGUUCACUAGAAGCAUGCAAAGUCCUAUCAUUUUUCUUUUUCUUCUUUUUAGAAGAACUAGGUACAUCUAUAUUAUUUCUCUGGGAAUCUUGCUCAAUUCUCUUAGGGUGGCCUUCAUGAUACAAAGGUUCCUGAGUCAUUCUACUAGUUCUAGUAGCCACUCUAACAGCAUUAUCAUUAUCUUUACUAUUCAAUUCAUUGAGCAAAUCAUUUUGAGCUUUAAGUACUUGUUUUACUUGAGUGGUAACCAUAGAAGCAUGUUUACUAAUAAGUUUAAGUUCACCUUUAACAUUAGCCAUAUAAUCACCCAAGUGUUCAAGCAUAUUUGAAUUGUAUUUCAAUUGUCUACCAAAAUAAGCAUUAAAGUCUUCUUGCUUAGCCAUAAAUUUAUCAAACUCAUCUAAGCAUGGGCUAGCAAAUUUAGUAAAUGGGAUUUCAGCUUUGUCAUAUCUAUAGAGAGAAUUUACCUUUACUACCUAUGUCGGGUUAUCAAGACCAUGAGUUUCUUCAAUAGGUAAUGGAUUAAGAUUAUAUGUUUCUUCAACAGGCGGUAGAUUAAGACCAUGUAUUUCUUCAAUAGGAAGUAAAUUCUUAAUAUCUUCAGCUUUAAUACCCUUUUCUUUCAUAGAUUUCUUUGCCUCUUUCAUAUCUUCAGGACUGAGAAAUAGAAUACCAUCUUCUUCGGAGUUGGUUUAGGAAUAGGCUCAGGAAUUGGUUCCGGAGGUGUCCAAUUAUUUUCAUUUGUCAACAUAUUAUUCAAUAGAAUAUCAGCUUCAUCCGGUGUUCUUUCCCUGAAAGCAGAACCAGCACAACUAUCCAGGUAAUCUCUGGAGGCAUCGGUUAGUCCAUUAUAAAAGAUAUCAAGUAUUUCAUUUUUCUUAAGAGGCUGAUUAGGCAAAGCAUUAAGUAAUUGGAGAAUCCUCGCCCAAGCUUGUGGGAGACUCUCUUCUUCAAUUUGCACAAAAUUAUAUAUAUCCCUUAAAGUAGCUUGUUUCUUAUGAGUAGGGAAAUAUUUAACAGAGAAGUAAUAAAUCAUAUCCUAGGGACUACGCACACAACCAGGAUCAAGAGAAUUAAACCAUAUAUUAGCAUCACCCUUUAAUGAGAACGGAAAUAUUUUAAGGAUAUAAAAGUAGUGAGUUCUCUCAUCUUUAGUGAACAGGGUAGCUAUAUCAUUCAAUUUAGUAUGAUGUGCCACAACAGUUUCAGAUUCAUAACCAUGAAAAGGAUCAGAUUCAACCAAAGUAAUUAUAUCAGGAUCAACAGAGAAUUCAUAAUCCUUAUCAGUAACAAAGAUAUGGGAAGUAGCAAAAGCAGGGUCAGGUUUCAUUCUAGCAUUUAGAGAUUGCUUACUCCAUUUAGCUAAUAACUUUUUGAGUUCAUUUCUAUUUUACAAGCUAAAAUAGCUAAGGAAGCUUCUUGAUCAAAAACAUAACCCUUAGGAAUAACAAGUGAUUCUUCAUCAUCACUUUCAUCAGUAUCAUCAGAUUCAAUAUUUUCAAUUUCUCUAGCCCUAGCAAGUUGUUCAUCAAGAAAAUCACUAAGUGGCAUAGUAGUAUCAGGCAUAGAGGUAGUUUCAUCAUAAGUAUCAUGCAUAGCAGAAGUGGCAUCAUCAAUAACAUGCGACAUAUCAGAACGAAUAGCAGAAGCAGGUGUAGGUGUUGCAAGCUUACUCAAAACAGAAGGUGAAUCAAGUGCAGAGCUAGAUGGUGAUACGUCUCCAACGUAUCUAUAAUUUUUGAUUGCUCCAUGGUAUAUUAUCUACUGUUUUGGACUAUAUUGGGCUUUAUUUUACACUUUUAUAUUAUUUUUGUGACUAACCUAUUAACCAGAGGCCCAACCUAGAAUUGUUGUUUUUUUGCCUAUUUGAGUGUUUCGGAGAAACAGAAUAUCAAACGGAGUCCAAACGGAAUGAAAACUUUGGAAACGUGAUUUUCUCAUCAGAUAAGAUCCAGGAGACUUGGACCCUCCAUUAAGAAAGCCACGAGGCGGUCACGAGGGUGGAGGGCACGCCCCCCCCCUAGGGCGCGCCCCCUGCCUCAUGGGCCCCUCGAAGCUCCACCGACGUACUUCUUCCUCCUAUAUAUACCAAUGUACCCCCAAACGAUCGGGGACGGAGCCUAAAACCUAAUUCCACCGCCGCAACUUUCUGUAUCCACGAGAUCCCGUGUUGGGGCUAUUCCGGAGCUCCGCCGGAAGGGGCAUCGAUCACGGAGGGAUUCUACGUCAUCAUCCUAGCCCCUCUUAUGAAGUGUGAGUAGUUUACUUCAGACCUACGGGUCCAUAGUUAGUAGCUAGAUGGCUUCUUCUCUCUUUUUGGUCCUCAAUACAAUGUUCUCCCCCUCUCUUGUGGAUAUCAAUUCGAUGUAAUCUUCUUUUUGCGGUGUGUUUGUUGAGACCGAUGAAUUGUGGGUUUAUGAUCAAGUCCAUCUAUGAAUAAUAUUUGAAUCUUCUCUGAAUUCUUUUAUGUAUGUUUGGUUAUCUUUGCAAGUCUCUUCGAAUUAUCAGUUUGGUUUGGCCUACUAGAUUGGUUGUUCUUGCCAUGGGAGAAGUGCUUAGCUUUGGGUUCGAUCUUGCGGUGUCCUUUCCCAGUGACAGAAGGGGCAGCAAGUCACAUAUUGUAUUGUUGCCAUCGAGGAUAACAAGAUGGUGUUUUUAUCAUAUUGCAUGAAACUAUCCCUCUACAUCAUGUCAUCUUGCUUAAGGUGUUACUCUGUUUUUAACUUAAUACUCUAGAUGCAUGCUGGAUAGCGGUCGAUGAGUGGAGUAAUAGUAGUAGAUGCAUGCAUGAGUCGGUCUACUUGUCUCGGACGUGAUGCCUAAAUACAUAAUCAUACCUAGAUAUUCUCCUAACUAAGCUCAAUUCUGUCAAUUGCUCAACAGUAAUCUGUUCACCCACCGUAGAAUACUUAUGCUCUUGAGAGAAGCCACUAGUGAAACCUAUGGCCCCCGGGUCUCUUUCUCAUCAUAUCAAUCUCCAUCACUUUAUUAUUGCUUUGCUAUUAAUUUGCAUUUACUUUUUACUUUGUAUCUCUAUACCAAAAAUACCAAAAAUAUUAUUUAUCAUCUCUAUCAGAUCUCACUUUCGUAAGUGACCGUGAAGGGAUUGACAACCCCUAAGUGCGUUGGUUGCGUUGAGCUAUUGUUUUUGUGUAGGUACGAGGGACUCGCGCGUAGCCUCCUACUGGAUUGAUACCUUGGUUCUCAAAAACUGAGGGAAAUACUUACGCUACUUUGCUGCAUCAUCCUCUCCUCUUCGGGGAAAUCCAAUGCAGUGCUCAAGAGGUAGCAAGAAGAGUUUCUAGCACCGUUGUCGGGGAGUCUGCGCAAAAGUCAACAUACCAAGUACCCAUGACAAUCCCUAUCUGCCGCAUUACAUUAUUUGCCAUUUGCCUCUCGUUUUCCUCUCCCCCACUUCACCCUUGCCGUUUUAUUCGCCCUCUCUCUCUCUAUCCUCCCUCUCUUUCUCUAUUUGCCUCUUUUUGCCCGUUUGCUUUUUGUUUGCUCAUGUGUUGGAUUGCUUGUUUGUCGCGAUGGCUCUUCCUAGAUUCGGUGAUCUUCACCUUAAAAGGUCAGAGGAGAUCGAAAACAACGUCAGGAAAUUUAUGGUUUUGCAAUUUGAGCAUAAUAAUUUCUUUAGAAAUGAGCUUAAGGAACAAAAAGGUUUUAUGAUUUAUAUGAAUAAAGAGCUCAAUGAUAUGUCUAAAGAAUUUGAUGGUAUAAGAUCCCAAAUUGCUCGUCUUGAAAAAUUAAUUGCUGAAAUUUCGGAUAUGCAAGCUACCUUAGUCAAUAAGAUGGCCGCUAAACUGGAUUCCUAUGAAAAUCAAGAUGAAGAUCUAAAAGUUAUUGAUGUGUCCCCUAUUAAAUCUUUGUUUUGCAAUAUUAAUCUUGAUAAUGAUGGGACUGAAUAUGAUCCACCUUUACCUAGAAGGUGUUCUAAAAAUUCAGAGUAUUUAGACCUUGAUGAUGAAAUUGAUAAAAGUGGGAUUAAAAGAAAUAAAACCCUAGAUGAUGCUAAACCCACUAUAUUGGAUUUCAAGGAAUUUAAUUAUGAAAAUUGCUCUUUAAUUGAUUGUAUUUCCUUGUUGCAAUCCGUGCUAAAUUCGCGUCAUGCUUAUAGCCAAAAUAAAGCCUUUACCGAACAUAUCGUUGAUGCCUUGAUGCAAUUUUAUGAAGAAAAACUUGAGUUGAAAGUUUCUAUCCCUAGAAAACUUGAUGACGAGUGGGUACCUACUAUUAAAAUUAAAAUUAAAGAUUAUGAGUUUUAUGCUUUGUGUGAUUUGGGUGCUAGUGUCUCUACUAUUCCCAAAACUUUGUGUGAUUUGCUAGAUUUCUGUGAUUUUGAUGAUUGCUCUCUAAACUUGCAUCUUGCGGAUUCCACUAUUAAGAAACCUAUGGGAAGAAUUAAUGAUGUUCUUAUUGUUGCAAAUAGGAAUUAUGUGCUCAUAGAUUUUAUCGUUCUUGAUAUAGAUUGCAAUCCUUCUUGCCCUAUUAUUCUCGGUAGACCAUUCCUUAGAACGGUUGGUGCAAUUAUUGAUAUGAAGGAAGGGAACAUUAUAAUUCAAUUUCCAUUAAAAAAGGGCAUGGAACACUUCCCUAGAAAGAAAAUAAAAUUACCAUAUGAAUCUAUCAUGAGAGUCACUUAUGGAUUGCCUACCAAAGAUGGCAAUACCUAGAUCUAUUCUUGCUUGUUAUGCCUAGCUAGGGGCGUUAAACGAUAGUGCUUGUUGGGAGGCAACCCAAUUUUAUUUUUAUUCCUUGCAUUUUGCUCCUGUUUAGUAAUAAAUAAUUUAUCUAGCCUCUGUUUUGGUUGUGUUUUUUGUGUUUAAUUAGUGUUUGUGCCAAGUAGAAUCGUUGGGAAGACUUGGGGAAAGUCUUGUUGAACUUGCUGUAAAAAACAGAAACUUUAGGGCUCACGAGAACUGCUGUCAUUUUUAUUUGGAACGCUCUAUUUAGUUAAUUAUUUUUGCGGAUGUUUAAUAGAUAAAUUCCUCACGUACAGAAAUUUAUUUUAGAAUUUUUGGGAUUCCAUAUCUUGCGCUAGCUACAGAUUACUACAGACUAUUCUGUUUUUGACAGAUUCUAUUUUUCGUGUGUUGUUUGCUUAUUUUGAUGAAUCAAUGGCUAGUAAAAUAGUUUAUAAUCCAUAGAGAAGUUGGAAUACAGUAGGUUUUACACCAAUAUAAAUAAAUAAUGAGUUCAUUACAGUACCUUGAAGUGGUCUUUUGUUUUCUUUCGCUAACGGAGCUCACGAGUUUUCUACUUUAAGUUUUGUGUUGUGAAGUUUUCAAGUUUUGGGUAAAGAUUUGAUGGAUCAUGGAACAAGGAGUGGCAAGAGCCUAAGCUUGGGGAUGCCCAUGGCACCCCCAAUAUAAUCUAAGGACACCUAAAAGCCAAAGCUUGGGGAUGCCCCGGAAGGCAUCCCCUCUUUCGUCUACUUCUAUCGGUAACUUUACUUGGAGCUAUAUUUUUAUUCACCACAUGAUAUGUGUUUUGCUUGGAGCGUCUUUUAUGAUUUGAGUCUUUUCUUGUUAGUCUACCACAAUCAUCCUUGCUGUACACACCUUUUGAGAGAGCCAUACAUGAUUUGGAAUUUGAUAGAAUACUCUAUGUGCUUCACUUAUAUCUUUUGAGCUUUAUAGUUUUGCUCUAGUGCUUCACUUAUAUCUUUUAGAGCACGGUGGUGGAUUUGUUUUAUAGAAACUAUUGAUAUCUCAUGCUUCACUUAGAUUAUUUUGAGAGUCUUAAUAGCAUGGUAAUUUUCAUAAAAUCCUAAUAUGCUUGGUAUGCAAGAUUAAUAAUAAAACUUUCUUAUGAGUGUGUUGAAUGCUAAGAAAAGUUUGAUGCUUGAUGAUUGUUUUGAGAUAUGGAGGUAAUAAUAUCAAAGUCAUGCUAGUUGAGUAGUUUUGAAAUUGAGAAAUACUUGUAUUGAAGUUUGCAAGUCCCAUAGCAUGCACGUGUGGUAAACGUUAUGCAACAAAUUUGAAACAUGAGGUGUUAUUUGAUUGUCUUCCUUAUGAGUGGCGGUCGGGGACGAGCGAUGGUCUUUUCCUACCAAUCUAUCCCCUUAGGAGCAUGCGCGUAGUGCCGAGGUUUUUGAUGACUUGUAGAUUUUUGCAAUAAGUAUGUGAGUUCUUUAUGACUAAUGUUGAGUCCAUGGAUUAUAUGCACUAUCACCCUUCCAUCCUUGCUAGCCUCUUCGGUACCGUGCAUUGCCCUUUCUCACAUUGAGAGUUGGCGCAAACUUCGCCGGUGCAUCCAAACCUCGUGAUAUGAUACGCUCUUUCACACAUAAACCUCCUUAUAUCUUCCUCAAAACAGCCACCAUACCUACCUAUUAUGGCAUUUCCAUAGCCACUCCGGGAUAUAUUGCCAUGCAACUUUCUAUCAUUCCGUUCAUCAUGACACAUUCAUCAUUUUCAUAUUGCUUAGCAUGAUCAUGUAGUUGACAUAGUAUUUGUGGCAAAGCCACCGUUCAUAAUUCUUUCAUACAUGUCACUCUUGGUUCAUUGCAUAUCCCGGUACACCGCCGGAGGCAUUCAUAUAGAGUCAUCUUUGUUCUAGUAUCGAGUUGUAAUCAUUGAGUUGUAAAUAAAUAGAAGUGUGAUGAUCAUCAUUAUUAGAGCAUUGUCCCAAGUGAGGAAUAAAAAAAGAGAAGGCCCAAAAAAAGAGAAAGGUCAUAAAUAAAAGGAAAAGGCCCAAAAAUGAGAGAAAAAGAGAGAAAGGACAAUGUUACCAUCCUUUUACCACACUUGUGCUUCAAAGUAGCACCAUGAUCUUCAUAGUAGAGAGUCUCUCAUGUUAUCACUUUCAUAUACUAGUGGGAAUUUUUUCAUUAUAGAACUUGGCUUGUGUAUUCCAACAAUGGGCCUCCUCAAGUGCCCUAGGUCUUCGUGAGCAAGCAAGUUGGAUGCACACCCACUAGUUUCUUUUGUUGAGCUUUCAUACAUUUAUAGCUCUAGUGCAUCCGUUGCAUGGCAAUCUCUAUUCCUUGCAUUAACAUCAAUCGGUGGGCAUCUCCAUAGCCCAUUGAUUAGCCUCGUUGAUGUGAGACUUUCUCCUUUUUUGUCUUCUCCACAUAACCCCCCUCAUUAUAUUCUAUUCCACCCAUAGUGCUAUGUCCAUGGCUCGCGCUCAUAUAUUGCAUGAAAGUUUAUAGGUUUGAGAUUACUAAAGUAUGAAACAAUUGCUUGGCUUGUCAUCAGGGUUGUGCAUGAUGAGAGCAUUCUUGUGUGACGAAAAUGAAACAUGACUAAACUAUAUGAUUUUGUAGGGAUGAACUUUCUUUGGCCAUGUUAUUUUGAGAAGACAUAAUUGCUUAGUUAGUAUGCUUGAAGUAUUAGCAUUUUUAUGUCAAUAUGAACUUUUGUCUUGAAUCUUUCGGAUCUGAAUAUUCAUACCACAAUUAAGAAGAAUUACAUUAAAAUUAUGCCAAGUAGCACUCCGCAUCAAAAAAAUUCUUUUUAUCAUUUACCUACUCGAGGACGAGCGGGAAUUAAGCUUGGGGAUGCUUGAUACGUCUCCAACGUAUCUAUAAUUUUUUAUUGCUCCAUGCUAUAUUAUCUACUAUUUUGGACUAUAUUGGGCUUUAUUUUCCACUUUUAUAUUAUUUUUGGGACUAACCUAUUAACCAGAGGCCCAGCCCAGAAUUGUUGGUUUUUGCCUAUUUCAGUGUUUCGGAGAAACAGAAUAUCAAACAGAGUCCAAACGGAAUGAAACCUUCGGAAACAUGAUUUUCUCACCAGAUAAGAUCCAGGAGACUUGGACCCUCCGUCAAGAAAGCCACGAGGCGGUCACGAGGGUGGAGGGCGCGCCCCUUGCCACAUGGGCGCCUCGAAGCUCCACCGACGUACUUCUUCCUCCUAUAUAUACCUACAUACCCCCAAACGAUCGGGGACGGAGCCAAAAACCUAAUUCCACCGCCGCAACUUUCUGUAUCCACGAGAUCCCAUCUUGGGGCCUAUUCCGGAGCUCCACCGGAAGGGGCAUCGAUCACGGAGGGAUUCUACAUCAUCAUCCAAGCCCCUCCAAUGAAGUGUGAGUAGUUUACUUCAGACCUACGGGUCCAUAGUUGGUAGCUAGAUGGCUUCUUCUCUCUUUUUGGAUCUCAAUACAAUGUUCUCCCCCUCUCUUGUGGAGAUCUAUUCGAUGUAAUCUUCUUUUUGCAGUGUGUUUGUUGAGACCGAUGAAUUGUGGGUUUAUGAUCAAGUCUAUCUAUGAAUAAUGUUUAAAUCUUCUCCGAAUUCUUUUAUGUAUGAUUGGUUAUCUUUGCAAGUCUCUUUGAAUUAUCAGUUUGGUUUGGCCUACUAGAUUGGUUGUUCUUGCCAUGGGAGAAGUGCUUAGCUUUGGGUUCGAUCUUGCGGUGUCCUUUCCCAGUGACAGAAGGGGCAGCAAGUCACAUAUUGUAUUGUUGCCAUCGAGGAUAACAAGAUGGUGUUUUUAUCAUAUUGCAUGAAACUAUCCCUCUACAUCAUGUCAUCUUGCUUAAGGCGUUACUCUGUUUUUAACUUAAUACUCUAGAUGCAUGCUGGAUAGCGGUCGAUGAGUGGAGUAAUAGUAGUAGAUGCAGGCAUGGUCGGUCUACUUGUCUCGGACGUGAUGCCUAAAUACAUAAUUAUACCUAGAUAUUCUCCUAACUAAGCUCAAUUCUGUCAAUUGCUCAACAGUAAUCUGUUCACCCACCGUAGAAUAUUUAUGCUCUUGAGAGAAGCCACUAGUGAAACCUAUGGCCCCGGGUCUCUUUCUCAUCAUAUCAAUCUCCAUCACUUUAUUAUUGCUUUGCUAUUAAUUUGCAUUUACUUUUUACUUUGUAUCUCUAUACCAAAAAUACCAAAAAUAUUAUUUAUCAUCUCUAUCAGAUCUCACUUCCGUAAGUGACCGUGAAGGGAUUGACAACCCCUAAGCGCGUUGGUUGCGUUGAGCUAUUGUUUUUGUGUAGGUACGAGGGACUCGCGCGUAGCCUCCUACUGGAUUGAUACCUUGGUUCUCAAAAAUUGAGGGAAAUACUUACGUUACUUUGCUGCAUCAUCCUAUCCUCUUCGGGGAAAUCCAACGCAAUGCUCAAGAGGUAGCAGAUGGCAGUUCCUUACCUCCCCUCGUAGUUGAGGGAUAAAUCUUGGUUGUUGGAUCUUUCAAGUUCUUCAUAAUGAUAAGCAGAUAUAUAUCCCAAGUGACUCAAAGAAUAGAGCUAUGCUCCCCGACAACGGCGCUUGAAAAUAGUCUUGAUAACCCACAAGUAUAGGGGAUCGCAACAGUUUUCGAGGGUAAAUUAUUCAACCCAAAUUUAUUGAUUUGACACAAGGGGAGAAAAAGAAUACUCUCAUGUAUUAGCAGCUGAGUUGUCAAUUCAACCACACCUGGAAACAUAAUAUCUGCAGCAAAGUAUUUAGUAGCAAAGUAAUAUGAUAGUAGUGAUAACGGUAUCAAAAGGUAACGGUAAUAAAAGCAAUGUUUUUGGUAUUUUGUAGUGAUGAUAGCAAUAGCAAUGGGAAAGUAAAUAAGCGAAGAACAAU